rnacentral:rRNA from 1 species
CCCGCACAAGCGGUGGAGCAUGUGGUUAAUUCGACGCAACGCGAAGAACCUUACCAGGGCUUGACAUCCCCUGACCGCGUAUGAAAGUACGUUUUCACCCUCGGUGACAGGGAGACAGGUGGUGCAUGGUUGUCGUCAGCUCGUGUCGUGAGAUGUUGGGUUAAGUCCCGCAACGAGCGCAACCCCUACGUUUAGUUGCUAACGCGUGAAGGCGAGCACUCUAGACGAACUGCCGUUGACAAAACGGAGGAAGGUGGGGAUGACGUCAAAUCAUCAUGCCCCUUAUGUUCUGGGCUACACACGUGCUACAAUGGCCGGUACAGACGGACGCAAAGCCGCGAGGUGGAGCAAAUCCUAAAAAGCCGGUCUCAGUUCGGAUUGCAGGCUGCAAUUCGCCUGCAUGAAGUCGGAAUCGCUAGUAAUCGCAGGUCAGCAUACUGCGGUGAAUACGUUCCCGGGCCUU